UCCGACUUAACGUCGGCAGUCUCCCUAGAGUGCCCGGCAUGACCCGAUGGCAACUAGGAACAAGGGUUGCGCUCGUUGCGGGACUUAACCCAACAUCUCACGACACGAGCUGACGACAGCCAUGCAGCACCUGUGUUCCGAUUCCCUUUCGGGCACCCCCACCUCUCAGCAGGGUUCCGGACAUGUCAAGGGUAGGUAAGGUUGUUCGCGUUGCAUCGAAUUAAUCCACAUCAUCCACCGCUUGUGCGGGUCCCCGUCAAUUCCUUUGAGUUUUAGCCUUGCGGCCGUACUCCCCAGGCGGGGUGCUUAAUGCGUUAGCUACGGCACCGCAGGGGUCAAAGCCCGCGACACCUAGCACCCAUCGUUUACGGCGUGGACUAC
rnacentral:misc_RNA from 1 species